CAGAUAAACCUAGCUAAACCAUGAGCUAACGCAGAUAGUCAAACAAACAAUUAUUUUGUGUCAGACCAUACGCGGAGGUAGCAUCAUCUGCUUGUGCCAAGAAGCUGAAAAGAGUCAGUCAUGUACAGCGUCAGUCAGAGGAAUGUGGACAGAGUGUACACCUUUUUGCUGGCAGUGUGUGUAUUGCUGGCCUGGGGAUUUGUGAUCUACGGUUGCAGGGAAGCGACUCUGGAAAGUCUCACUGCUGUGGGUGGAACCUGAAGCCCCAGAGACUUCUGGGAAAUGGAGUUUCCUGCAGGGACUAUGUCAUCACAAACGCAGACAGACAAUCUGACGCAGCACGAGAAUGAAGUGAUCUGGACACUGUAUGAGCUGCCAAAUGAACAACAGGUGUGUGUUAUGUGCAUACACAACAGCACAGUCACACAUUUUCCAAGCUGGAGGGAUGUUGAUCCAUUGUGCCCUUAUGAACAGAUGAGACUGGUGCAGUUAUGUUUUGAAACUUCUAAUUUAUUGAAGAUCUGAGUUUUUUACUGAACAUAUGUCAAUCCCUUUUAGAAUGCAUCUUAGUGCAACACCCCAUCAUGUACAAUAUAGAUCACAGAUGCCAGACAAAACAAGAAGAGUGCAGCUUACAUCAACCUGAACAUUUUUGUUGCACUUUGUACAAAUUGAUGCAGAUCCCAGGGACAAUUGGGAUCCAAUCAGCAAAUAGAGGGAUAAAUCUCUGUCAAAUCUAUCCCAGAAACGCUGUCUGACUCAGUAAUGUUGCCACAUCUGCUGAACAAUAAAACGGUCUGCAGUUUA